rnacentral:snRNA from 1 species
AGACAACCGCUGAGCCAUCCAUGUGCACCCCUCCAGAGCUGGGCAGUAGAUCAAAGAGAAGGACCUUCCCCUAAUAGAGGAGAACCAGUCUUCAGUCAAGGUUAGACAAGGAGCUGUGCUCCCCUGCUAGAACCUCUAUGAGAAACACGUUGUUCAGGUAGGAAACUGAGGUUGAGAGAAAUAGCGGGGAGCAGGAAUCCAAAGCAGUCUGCUGUCGGUGGCACCUGAC